rnacentral:rRNA from 1 species
GUACACUCCUACGGGAGGCAGCAGUGGGGAAUUUUGGACAAUGGGCGAAAGCCUGAUCCAGCAAUGCCGCGUGAGUGAAGAAGGCCUUCGGGUUGUAAAGCUCUUUUGUCAGGGAAGAAACGGUGAGAGCUAAUAUCUUUUGCUAAUGACGGUACCUGAAGAAUAAGCACCGGCUAACUACGUGCCAGCAGCCGCGGUAAUACGUAGGGUGCAAGCGUUAAUCGGAAUUACUGGGCGUAAAGCGUGCGCAGGCGGUUUUGUAAGUCUGAUGUGAAAUCCCCGGGCUCAACCUGGGAAUUGCAUUGGAGACUGCAAGGCUAGAAUCUGGCAGAGGGGGGUAGAAUUCCACGUGUAGCAGUGAAAUGCGUAGAUAUGUGGAGGAACACCGAUGGCGAAGGCAGCCCCCUGGGUCAAGAUUGACGCUCAUGCACGAAAGCGUGGGGAGCAAACAGGAUUAGAAACCCCUGUAGUCCCA